rnacentral:rRNA from 1 species
UGGGGAAUUUUGGACAAUGGGCGCAAGCCUGAUGACGCAACGCCGCGUGGGGGAUGAAGGUCUUCGGAUCGUAAACCCCUGUCGAAUGGGACGAAAGACUCGCGAGUGAAUACUUCGCGAGAGUGACGGUACCGUUAAAGGAAGCCACGGCUAACUCUGUGCCAGCAGCCGCGGUAAUACAGAGGUGGCAAGCGUUGUUCGGAAUUACUGGGCGUAAAGGGCGCGUAGGCGGCCCUCUAAGUCAGACGUGAAAUCCCCGGCUUAACCUGGGAACUGCGUCUGAUACUGGAGGGCUUGAGUAUGGGAGAGGGGUGUAGAAUUCCAGGUGUAGCGGUGAAAUGCGUAGAUAUCUGGAGGAAUACCGGUGGCGAAGGCGGCAUCCUGGACCAUUACUGACGCUGAGGCGCGAAAGCUAGGGGAGCAAACGGGAUUAGAUACCCCUGUAGUCCCUGAGCGGGCUGGCAAGGCGCAU